UUAUUUUUUGCUUCUAUUCUUCCAUGCUGUCCUUCACUUCUGUGUAUUUGCAUUUCCAGUCUAUUGUUUUCUCUUUUUUGUUUCUUUGGUUUUGUUUUUAAAUCACUCACGAACAAUGUUUUCCGUGUUCUAGUCAAAUUCUACCACCUUGUUGUUCUAUUAAAUAUAACAUGACAUUUACUGGAGAUAAAAGUAAACAUCUUGUACAUGAACAUGCACAAAAAAAGAAACAAAUAAAUAACAACCAAAGCCUUCCCCCAAGUCAUAACUCUAAGAUGGAGGAAGUAUAAUUAGGUAGUUGUUCUGAAGAAGACCUUGGAGUUUUUAAUGGAUUUCAAAUUCCAUAUGUGUUUGUAAUGCAGUAGCCCAAAGAGUUAGCACUUCACCUUCAAAGAAGGAGGGACCCAAAUUCCAGGAAUAGGGAGAUGAUUUAAUCCCAUUAUAUUCUGCUCUAGUCAGGACACAUAUAGAGGGUUGUGUCUAUAUUUCUGGGGAUCCAUGGUUUAAGAAAGCUGAUGGUAGACUGGAGAGUGUCUAGAGGUAGGCAGGCAGGAUGGUGAAGGGUCUUAGGUACAUAUCACAUGAGUACUGGUUAAAGGAACUGAGUGGGCAUACUUAGCCAGGACAAGAGAAGAUUUGGGGGAUAUGAUAACUGGUUCAUAGUUAUUUGAAGGUUUAUCACAUAGACGAAGUAUUUGACUUGUUCUGUUUAGCUCCAGUGACCAUAAGAUGAAAGUUGUAAGAAGGCAAAUUUAGGCUCAGUAUCAAGGAAACCUUCUUAAUAAUUAAAACUUUCCUAACAUUGAAUGGGCUGCUUCAAGAGAAGGUGGGUUCCUGCUCCCUGGAGGGCUUUAAGUAAAGGCUAUUAGAUAUAGCAGCUGAGAUCUCUUUUCACUAUCAAAUUAUUUAUUCCCUUUUUUCAUAGCAAAGUCUUAGAGUUUUCCUCAUUGCUGUCUUUACUUCCUCAUCUCUGAAUCAAUACUUUUCUAAGGUCAUUAAUACUCUUUUUUUCCCCAAUUAUAUGUAAAAAUAAUUUUUUUGCAUUCAUUUUAGGGGAUGGAGACAAGAUGGCGAACUAGUAUCACAGAAAGCUGGAAUUGCUCUGAGAAUCCUCUCAAACCAACCUUCAAAUAGCACCUCAAAAUGAAUACUGGAGUCACAGAACCAACAAUGGGAAUGAGUGAAGUAUCUCUCCUGCAGAAAAUCACCUGAAAAGUAGGCAGAGAAGGUCUAUUUUAUAGUGUAAGAGGGGAACCGGGAAUAAAAUCAUGCACAGAAGAGUAUAAGCUGCCCAUCUCCCACCUACUGCUCCAGCUUCAAUUCCUGGGCACAAGCCAACUUUGAAAACCCAGGACUCUGCCUAAGCCAACAGCAGGGCAGCCCAUACCCACCUCUUGAAGUCCCAAGCCCUGGCACAAGCCUGCAGUGAGGCCCUAAGUGUGAUUGAUUGUGAGGAGACUGGAUCAGCAGUAAGAGGUGACUUCCGAAGUGCCCAGUUCACAGGCUAUUGUAUCACUUUCUAAGAGCUGAUAGUUGCAGAAACCAGAACUACCUCUAAGGGUGGCAGCAAGGAAAAACUGAAGUUUAAGACUGAUCACUUUAUCUUGAGAGCAGAGCCAACUUUUAGAUAAAAGAAAAAAAAAGAGGCUGGGAAAAUGACCAAACAGAAAAACAAACAAACAAACAAACAAAAAACACCUAGCUGUAGAAAAUUUCCAUAGAGAUGAAGCAGAGAUUCAGUAGGGGACAGUAAUAUCAAAGCAGUUACAAAUAAGACUUCAAAGUAAAAUGAGAAUUGGUCUCAGGCACUGAAGAGCUCAAAAAGGAAUUUAAAAAUAAAAUAAGAGAAGUGAAAUAAAAAUGGGGGAAAGAAAUGAAAGUAAUACAAGAGAGAAAAUAACUAUUUAAAAAAGCAGAAUUGGUUAAAUGGAAAAAGAAGCACAAAAAUCCAAAGAAGAAAAGAAUUCCAUAAAAAGUAAAAUUGACCAAAUGGAAAAGGAAGUUCAAAAGCUCAUGGAAGAAAAUCAUUCUUUAAAAAUUAGAAUUGGGCAAAGAGAAGUUAAUGACUUCAUGAGACACUAAGAAACAAUAAAAUCAAAUCAAAAGAAUGAAAAAAAUAGAAAAUAUGAAAUAUCUCAUUGAAAAAAGACAAAUGACCUGGAAACUAGAUCCAGGAGAGACAUUCUAAGAAUUCUUGAACUACCUGAAAGUCAUGAUCAAAAUAAAAGCCUAGAUUUAAUAUUAUAAGAAAUGAUAAAAGAAAACUGUCCUGAUAUUCAUGAACAAGAGUAUAAAAUAGACAUCAAAAGAAUCCACAAAUUACCUCCUGCAAUAAAUCCCCAAAUGACAACUCCUGGGAAUAUUAUAGUCAAAUUCAAGAACUCCCAGGCUAAGGAGAAAAUACUGCAAGCAACUAUAAGAAACACUUCAAAUAUUAUGGAGCCACAGUCAGGAUUACAGAGGAUGUAUCAACUUCUUCAUUUAAGAAUUGGAAGGCUUAGAAUAUGAUAUUUCAGAAGGCAAAGGAAACAGGUUUACAACCAAGAAUCACCUCGCCAUCAAAACUGACUAUAUCCUUUCAGGGAAAAAUGAUCAUUUAAUAAAAUCGAAGAUCAAGCAAUCCUGAUGAAAAGACCAGACUUAAACAGAAAAUUUGAUGUCCAAAUACAAGAUUCAAGAGAAGCAUUAAAAGGUUCUAUUUAAGGGUAUCGAGAAGCUGAAGAGGAGCCAUCAGAAGAUGACCGUGAUGGUGAAGGGCCUUGAGAUCCAACCAUAUGAGGAUAUUGGAAGGAAUGGGGGGGUGUUUGGCCUGAAGAAGAGGUGACAUGUUAAUUGUCUUCAAGUAUUUGGAUGACUGUCAGGUGGAAAAGAGAUUACCCUUGCCCUACUUGGUUCCAAGGGCUGAAAGAGGAACAAUGAAUGGAAGAUGAAAAGAGACAAAUCUAGACUUGAUGUUGGGAAAAACUUUCUAAUAAUUUGAGCUAUCUAAAAGUAGAAGGAGAUGGCUCAGGUCGAAGUGGGUUCUUGCUCCUGAGGGAUCUUCCAGCAAAGGCCGAAUGACUCCUUUUUGGGUAAGUCAUGAGGGGGAAUUCUUGUUCAGACUAGAUGACCCCUGAGAUCCCUUCCUACUCUGAGAUUGUGAGAACCUGUGACCAGCCUCAGGCCAUAUAAGUGAACAGAAGAGCCCAGAUGAGAACUCUGGCUAUCAAUCCAGUUCUAUUUACUGUCCCACCAAGUAUACUACUGGUUACUGA